rnacentral:tRNA from 1 species
GUGGGUAGAGCUCAGAGGUAGAGCGUGUGCUUAGCGUGCACGAGGUCCUGGGUUAUACUCCCAGCACCUCCA